rnacentral:miRNA from 1 species
AUAAAAAUUAGUACCCUGGUUCCAGAGGUUCUUGUACCGCCGUAUUACUUCAUACUAUUUUGAUACACGAUGGAACGGCGAACCUCUGGUGGCACGUGAUACAAAUCUCACUUCCACGCGAAAUAAUAUGAAGUAAUACGGCGGUACAAGAACCUCUGGAACCAGGGUAAAAAUUAGACU